rfam:Schistosoma rodhaini strain Burundi genome assembly, scaffold: SROB_scaffold0012777
GUGCUGAGAUUUCGUCACACACCAGACCACAAGGGCUGAUGAGACUCCCAA